rnacentral:rRNA from 1 species
UACGUAGGGUGCGAGCGUUAAUCGGAAUUACUGGGCGUAAAGCGUGCGCAGGCGGUUUUGUAAGCCAGAUGUGAAAUCCCCGGGCUUAACCUGGGAAUGGCAUUUGGGACUGCAAGGCUUGAGUGCGGCAGAGGAGACUGGAAUUCCUGGUGUAGCAGUGAAAUGCGUAGAGAUCAUGAGGAAGACCAGUGGCGAAGGCGGGUCUCUGGACAGUUCCUGACACUGAGGCACGAAGGCCAGGGGAGCAAACGGG